UUGGUCUAUUUUUUAUUCAAAUGACUUGAUGAAUUUGAAUAUUGGUUUAAAACCUGACAAAUCCUACCUUUUUUCCAUUUAACUACGCGUUCAACGUUUCCUCUCCUGCGCUACUUUUAGCUAUAGACACUUGCUCUCUCACUCUCUCAGUAAUGUAAAUUUAACGACAAAUAGCGUUUUCGUAAACCUCUUUAGUAGCGUUUCCUAGCAGCGAAGCACUCAAACAUAGUCGGGAUCGUCCAAGUUCCGAAAUUACCGCUGCGCGGUCAACUACAGCAUUUGCUGUUAUCACGAUACAGCGAUACGCAAGAGGCUAAUUUCUAAAUUCCGAUGCCCGAUGUCCGAGCACCUCGCGUUUGAGAAGUGUCGCACAUUUGGCAUCAAAUGCAGCUCUUGCAGAUCUGAUUAGUAAGAAAUGAGUAAGCGCAAAGAAUAACGAGGAAAAGAGAAUGUGUUGAAUGGAAUAAUGAGGAAUAAAGGAGUGCGAUCGGGAAGAUUACGAAGGAGAGUAGAUAUACUCAAAUUUGCAAGGAUAAAGGAUAAGGAUUACGAAUAGAGAUGAUUACUGAAGAAUUUGUGAGCAAUUGUUUUUUUUUUAAUUUAUCUGAUUAAAUUGGAAUGGAUGUCCAGUAUAGAAUAUGUUCAUGCACUCUCUCUGCACUUUGCAAGAUGAAUUGCAUUGUAACGAUCGAGUGCGCUAUGUAAUAUUACGCUGCGCUACUGUUUUAUUCCCAUAAAGACUUGAAAAGGUAAAUAGCCAAACUGACUUUAAAGUUGGUUUUGACUUUUUCUCCUUUCUAGCAUAAAUACUGCUGCACAUUGGAUCAGUUGUUAGUAAGUAGAAGAUUGAGUAGCUAGAAAUUGUAGAGAGCGAAAUAUUCUCUUGACCGAUUACAUUCCCACUGUCUCCCGUUUUUGUUUUGCCUACUUUGUACUGCGUCUUCAUCGUUUGUCCGACUGUGUGUGGGCGCCAUGUUUCUAGCUAGUGUGCCCAGUACGAGAAGUUUCUAUUACUGAGCGCAUGUCGAAAUUACUGGGCAAAUUUGACACUUUGAGAGCAGCUCGAUCGCAUCGCUCUCAAAGUACUAAAAAAUUGUCCGUUUCGAUGCUGCGAAAAGUUGGACAUCAUAGUGCGAAGACCAUCGUAAACUUGCCUAUCAUGUGUUAAUAACAUGGUCCAACAUGUUGAUGAAGCAAUCCUACCAAAUCGGCUACAAAUACUAUGGCACGAAAUACGUGAAUGCAAUAUGGCUCAUCUCUUUACCUCUCUCUAUAGGUAAAUAUGUAAAUACUUAAGGCAAAUUAAAUUCUUUUUUCAUCCACUUAA
rnacentral:lncRNA from 1 species